UAGGUACACUACAGUAUUUACAAACAAAACUUAAGCUAUNAGUAUUUACAAACUAAACUUAAGCUAUUUAUUAUUUUUCUCUGGACCAUACAUUAUAUAACAAUUAAAGUUUCUUAGAAGUAAUCUUAAAUCUUUGGUCAUACUCAAAAAAAGAUGAAGAUUACUUCUUUUAAUCAAACUCUCAGUCUUUUCUUGAGUACGUCCAACUAUUUAAUAGUUCAAUCCUUCUAUGCCAAAGAGUAAUUCGNUUCUGAAACAUACCUUAUAACAUUUAAGGUUUCCUUGAAGUAUUCUUAAAUCUUUGGUCAUACUCAAAAAAAGAUGAAGAUUACUUCUUUUAAUCAAACUCUCCAUCUUUUCUUGAGUAUGUCCAACCAUUUAACGGGCCAAUCUUUCUACCCUGAAGAGAAAAUAUUACAAAAUUUAUAAAUAAUAUUUAAACUAAUUUACAGAAAAAUUUCGAGUAUAAAUUCACCAUAUUUACCUUAUGAUAUAAAUUAUGGUAAUUAAACAACUAGAUGUUAGUAUCAUUUAAUA